UCCCUGGUGGUCCAGUGGUUAAGAUUCUGUGCUUCCAAUGCAGGGGGCCCAGGUUCAGUUCCUGGUCAGGGAA